GUAAGGAAUAUUGGACAAUGGACGCAAGUCUGAUCCAGCCAUGCCGCGUGAAGGAUUAAGGUCCUCUGGAUUGUAAACUUCUUUUAUAAGGGACGAAAAAAGGCUUUUCUAAGUCGUCUGACGGUACCUUAUGAAUAUGCACCGGCUAACUCCGUGCCAGCAGCCGCGGUAAUACGGAGGGUGCAAGCGUUAUCCGGAUUCACUGGGUUUAAAGGGUGCGUAGGCGGGCAGGUAAGUCAGUGGUGAAAUCCUAGAGCUUAACUCUAGAACUGCCAUUGAUACUAUCUGUCUUGAAUAUUGUGGAGGUAAGCGGAAUAUGUCAUGUAGCGGUGAAAUGCUUAGAUAUGACAUAGAACACCUAUUGCGAAGGCAGCUUACUACGCAUAUAUUGACGCUGAGGCACGAAAGCGUGGGGAUCAAACAGGAUUAGAAACCCCGGUAGUCC
rnacentral:rRNA from 1 species